CACGUAGGGUGCGAGCGUUGUCCGGAAUUAUUGGGCGUAAAGAGCUCGUAGGCGGUGUGUCGCGUCGGCCGUGAAAACCUGCAGCUUAACUGUGGGCUUGCGGUCGAUACGGGCAUCACUGGAGUUCGGCAGGGGAGACUGGAAUUCCUGGUGUAGCGGUGAAAUGCGCAGAUAUCAGGAGGAACACCGGUGGCGAAGGCGGGUCUCUGGCCUGUAACUGACACUGAGGCUCGAAAGCGUGGGGAGCAAACAGG
rnacentral:rRNA from 1 species